rnacentral:rRNA from 1 species
AGAAUCAACGCUGGCGGCGUGCCUAACACAUGCAAGUCGAACGAGAAAGUGGAGCAAUCCAUGAGUACAGUGGCGUACGGGUGAGUAACACGUGACUAACCUACCCUCGAGUGGGGAAUAACCUCGGGAAACCGGGGCUAACACCGCAUAACAUCUACGGAUCAAAUGCGUAAGCAGCUUGAGGAGGGGGUCGCGGCUGAUUAGCUAGUUGGCGGGGUAAUGGCCCACCAAGGCAGUGAUCAGUAGCCGGCCUGAGAGGGCGCACGGCCACACUGGAACUGAAACACGGUCCAGACUCCUACGGGAGGCAGCAGUGGGGAAUUUUGCGCAAUGGGGGAAACCCUGACGCAGCAACGCCGCGUGGAGGAUUAAGCCCCUUGGGGUGUAAACUCCUUUCGAUCGGGACGAUUAUGACGGUACCGGAAGAAGAAGCACCGGCUAACUCUGCGCCAGCAGCCGC